AACGAACGCUGGCGGCAUGCCUAACACAUGCAAGUCGAACGAGACCUUCGGGUCUAGUGGCGCACGGGUGCGUAACGCGUGGGAACCUGCCCUUAGGUUCGGAAUAACUCCCCGAAAGGGGUGCUAAUACCGGAUAAUGUCCUCGGACCAAAGAUUGAUCGCCUUUGGAUGGGCUUGCGUUGGAUUGGCAUGUUGGUAGGGUAAAAGCCUACAAAGGCGACGAUCGAUAGCUGGUCAGAGAGGCUGAUCAGCCACACUGGGACUGAGACACGGCCCAGACUCCUACGGGAGGCAGGAGUGGGGAAUAUUGGACAAUGGGCGAAAGCAUGAUCCAGCAAUGCCGGGUGAGUGAUGAAGGCCGUAGGGUUGUAAAGCUCGUUUACCCGGGAUGAUAAUGACAGUACCGGGAGAAUAAGCACCGGCUAACUCCGUG
rnacentral:rRNA from 1 species